ensembl:scaRNA
UGGAAAUGAUGAAAUAGAGAUAACUGGGUGUUGAAUGUUUUAUGUUUGGAAAUUUCUAAUAUUUAAGUGAUAUAUCUGAGCUUUUCUUUAAAAAAUUUGGGCAUCAUAAAAUUACACUCCAG